rnacentral:rRNA from 1 species
GACAGAGGUGGCAAGCGUUGUUCGGAUUCAUUGGGUGUAAAGGGUGCGUAGGCGGUUUAGAAAGUCAGGUGUGAAAGCCCACAGCUUAACUGUGGAAUUGCACCUGAAACUACUAGACUUGAGUGCGAGAGAGGUGAAGGGAAUUCCCGGUGUAAGGGUGAAAUCUGCAGAGAUCGGGAGGAACACCAGUAGCGAAGUCGCUUCACUGGCUCGUAACUGACGCUGAGUGCACGAAGGCGUGGGGAGCAAAC